rnacentral:rRNA from 1 species
AUGCCUCGAGCGCACCGCACCACGCGAGGAAAAAAAUCACCGCAUCGCCCCGCGCGUGAAAAAAAAAACAGCCAGGAUGCAGCGCACCACGCGAGGAAAAAACCACCGCACCGCGCGAGGGACGCGCUCGACGGCCGUGGUGAGCCCCGUGCCCGUCCUCUUUCUCCUCCAUCCCCGUUCCCUCAUCUAACCCUAAAUCUCGCCCCAACCGUCUCUUUCCUCCCCGCGCCGCCUGCCCCGGAUCUGGAGGAAGAGGAGGGAGGCAGGAUCUGGAGGAGGAAGAGGAGAUCCGGGCGUCCCGACGGUGGCUCGACCGAUGCGAGGUGA